GCAUCUUUCAGUCUCAUUUUAAUUUAUGGAAUAAGCAUUUUUAAUGAAUGUUGUGUAGGUUUUAACAGGGUCCGCACGUGAUGAAAGAAAAAGGUUAAGUGUAUCAGAAUAAUAAUAUUAUGUAUACCAAAUUGUUUCAUUGAUAAGGGACGACUAUCAUCAGUUGUUACCUAUAGCCGUAAAAAAGAUAAAUCUAUUUUACCAAAACUGUUUGUUCGCUAAACUAGUAACUAGGUUUUAAAACCACAGUG